GCCCGAGUGGCGGAAUCGGCAGACGCAAGGGACUUAAAAUCCCUCGGUUGAACAAACCGUAUCGGUUCAAGUCCGAUCUCGGGCACCA
rnacentral:tRNA from 1 species